rnacentral:siRNA from 1 species
UAAAGUACUUCGGUGCGUUUCUA